CUCCACCGGCUUUCCGCAGUUAAUCACGAAGGUCGCUCCUUUCUUCUUCCCCUUGGCUCCGGCCGCUCCUCUUGUCCCUUUACUCAUCUUCGCUUUUCUUCUCUGAAAUUAAAUAAGCAAUUUUUAGAUACUUAACAAUAAUAUAUUUCAUACAAUAUGCAGAUAUAUACAUACAUACGUAUGUGAAUAUAGAGAGAGGAGCUCUUACCAGAUUGGACAUUAAAACGGCCGACUGCAACUGAAUAUGUGAUGUUUAUGAAGAAAAAGGAGGAGACUAUCGAUCUACUGUAAGAGAGCAAGAGAGAGAGAGAAAGGAGGAGGAGGUCGCUGGCGAGGGAGCGUCGGAGAGACGAAGGGACGAGGGUUUGUCGCCGCUGCUGCUAGAGAGAGAAAAUGGGAGAGAAAGAAUGAGAGGAAGAAACGAGAGAGAAGAAAGUACUCC
rnacentral:lncRNA from 1 species